UGGUUGAAGCUAUAUUAUUAGUAGAAUAGAAACUAGUCAGUUGUUUUUUUUUUUUUUUCCCUGCAUUUUCUGCAGACAAACGGCUUACCGAAUUUUUGACAUUU